rnacentral:rRNA from 1 species
GACGAACGCUGGCGGCGUGCUUAACACAUGCAAGUCGAACGGAAAGGCCCUGCUUUUGUGGGGUGCUCGAGUGGCGAACGGGUGAGUAACAAGUGAGUAACCUGCCCUUGACUUUGGGAUAACUUCAGGAAACUGGGGCUAAUACCGGAUAGGAGCUCCUGCUGCAUGGUGGGGGUUGGAAAGUUUCGGCGGUUGGGGAUGGACUCGCGGCUUAUCAGCUUGUUGGUGGGGUAGUGGCUUACCAAGGCUUUGACGGGUAGCCGGCCUGAGAGGGUGACCGGCCACAUUGGGACUGAGAUACGGCCCAGACUCCUACGGGAGGCAGCAGAGGGGAAUAUUGCACAAUGGGCGGAAGCCUCAUGCAGCAACGCCGCGUGCGGGAUGACGGCCUUCGGGUUGUAAACCGCUUUCGCCUGUGACGAAGCGUGAGUGACGGUAAUGGGUAAAGAAGCACCGGCUAACUACGUG